rnacentral:rRNA from 1 species
AACGAACGCUGGCGGCAUGCCUAACACAUGCAAGUCGAACGAGACCUUCGGGUCUAGUGGCGCACGGGUGCGUAACGCGUGGGAACCUGCCCUUAGGUUCGGAAUAACUCCCCGAAAGGGGUACUAAUACCGGAUAAUGUCUUCGGACCAAAGAUUUAUCGCCUUUGGAUGGGCCCGCGUUGGAUUAGCUAGUUGGUAGGGUAAAAGCCUACCAAGGCGACGAUCCAUAGCUGGUCUGAGAGGAUGAUCAGCCACACUGGGACUGAGACACGGCCCAGACUCCUACGGGAAGCAGCAGUGGGGAAUAUUGGACAAUGGGCGAAAGCCUGAUCCAGCAAUGCCGCGUGAGUGAUGAAGGCCUUAGGGUUGUAAAGCUCUUUUACCCGGGAUGAUAAUGACAGUACCGGGAGAAUAAGCUCCGGCUAACUCCGUG